rnacentral:lncRNA from 7 species
CUUGCUACUUCCUCUUCUUGCUGAUGCGUGGUUCACGCAUGGCAUCAUGCUCUGAUACCUCCCCAGAUACAGCUUUCUGCCUCUCCUGCUACCAGGGCACCGUACCUAUUCUGCAACUGUGGACCUGUAGGUGGAGAAGGAACUGCUGUCCAUGUGCCAGAAGUCAUGUUAGUUAUUUUCAUCUCAUAAUUUCUAAUCAAUAUUGCAUUCAGCAUCACACCAGCUUGAAAGGAGGCAGAUAACAGCAUGUCAGAGAAGAGUGAGGGCUGGCUGCUCCCUGAAGUACAGAGAUCCUGGAGUCAAGAGCAGUAGUACUGCCAAGAAGGUGCUGCUAUCGUUCGUUCCAAUACUUCUCCCUCCUGGAUUGGAAGUGGGAGAGGCUUUUGGCAGUCGUUGCCACUGAUGGCUUAUAGGAGGCCUCCUGAGAUUAUUCUUGAGGUAACUGCUGGCCCUUCCCAGGAAGUCAAGGGCACGUCUUCAUCAAGUUGCCUGUGGCCAUCUUUCCCACAGCAGUUACGAUAAACCAUGGAAUUCCAGCAACAGCGUACCACGCAGACAACAUCUCCAGUGCUCUGGAUUCUUCAGUUACAUAAGGCUGCAAGUGCUGAGCAACUGGGGCCACCCAGAGUACACCUGUGUGUAUCAGUUCAGGCUCCACAGUGAUCCAGCCCAUGACAGUGACGCUAGGGGAAAGCUAUGCGGUUUACUUCAGAAUAAAUAACUUUUCCCAU